rnacentral:rRNA from 1 species
UACGGAGGGUGCAAGCGUUAUCCGGAUUCACUGGGUUUAAAGGGUGCGUAGGUGGGUUUGUAAGUCAGUGGUGAAAUCUCCAAGCUUAACUUGGAACUGCCGUUGAUACUAUAAAUCUUGAAUGUUGUGGAGGUGAGCGGAAUAUGUCAUGUAGCGGUGAAAUGCUUAGAUAUGACAUAGAACACCAAUUGCGAAGGCAGCUCACUAACACAAAGAUUGACACUGAGGCACGAAAGCGUGGGGAUCAAACAGG